GGAUGUGAGGGCAAUCUGGCAUUGAGACAUCUGUCACCCUAUCAAUUUCUAGGGUUGAUUCAGUUGAUCUGGCUGGCUAGGCAGGUGUCCCUGUCCUUCCUCACUGCUCCAUGUGCAUCCCUCCCAAAGGAUGUAUAUUACUCAUACAUCCCUCUCAAAGCCUCCUGACAGGUCCAAGAGGACGAUCAUCCCCAAUAGAGAGGGACCAUUUCUUAGCGCAGGGGUAUAUGAGCAAUUGUGUUCUCCUGCCAGAACCUCCAAACAAGCUUUCAAGAAUAUUCCACUAUAGGGCCUGCAUGUAGCUCAGUGGCAUAGCACUUGCCUGGAUGCACAGGCCUUGGCUUUAAU
rnacentral:snRNA from 1 species